rnacentral:rRNA from 1 species
GUGCCAGCCGCCGCGGUAAUACGUAGGGUGCGAGCGUUAAUCGGAAUUACUGGGCGUAAAGCGUGCGCAGGCGGUUCGCUAAGACAGAUGUGAAAUCCCCGGGCUUAACCUGGGAACUGCGUUUGUAACUGGCGGGCUGGAGUGUGGCAGAGGGAGGUGGAAUUCCACGUGUAGCAGUGAAAUGCGUAGAGAUGUGGAGGAACACCGAUGGCGAAGGCAGCCUCCUGGGCCAGCACUGACGCUCAUGCACGAAAGCGUGGGGAGCAAACAGGAUUAGAAACCCCGGUAGUCC